UACGUAGGGUGCAAGCGUUAUUCGGAAUUACUGGGCGUAAAGCGUGCGCAGGCGGUUUUGUAAGACAGAGGUGAAAUCCCCGGGCUCAACCUGGGAACUGCCUUUGUGACUGCAAGGCUUGAGUGCGGCAGAGGGGGAUGGAAUUCCGCGUGUAGCAGUGAAAUGCGUAGAUAUGCGGAGGAACACCGAUGGCGAAGGCAAUCCCCUGGGCCUGCACUGACGCUCAUGCACGAAAGCGUGGGGAGCAAACAGG
rnacentral:rRNA from 1 species